rnacentral:rRNA from 1 species
UACGUAGGGGGCAAGCGUUGUCCGGAUUUAUUGGGCGUAAAGAGCGUGUAGGCGGCCAUGUAGGUCCGUUGUGAAAACUCGAGGCUCAACCUCCAGCGGUCGAUGGAAACCAUUUGGCUAGAGUCCGGAAGAGGAGAGUGGAAUUCCUGGUGUAGCGGUGAAAUGCGCAGAUAUCAGGAAGAACACCCGUGGCGAAGGCGGCUCUCUGGGACGGUACUGACGCUGAGACGCGAAAGCGUGGGGAGCGAACAGG